GUUAUGGCAGCCUGGGGAAACACGCACAAAGGGCAUGUGAGAAUCCCUGGGAAGCAACAGCUCAAGCAAAGACAGUGAAAUGAAAAACACCAAGGGAGUCAGGCUGACAGAGCAGCCUGUAGAACAUUGCUGGUCUACAAGGAGACAGGUCACGGUGAACCAGGCAGUGGCUCUUGGAGCUUCUGCUUGUAACUCAUGUCUCUUCCACUCACAUUUCAUUGGCCAAGACUAAUGUCAAGGAGCUUAAUUGAGAUAU